UUGUCGAGAACCUUAUGAGCGUUAUGAUAUUUUGGUUAUUGAGUUCUUAUUGAGUUCCUUGUUUUCAAAAUGGAUUUCAUAGUUUAUCAAAAGAUGACCUAAAUAUUAAACUCUGGUUUUACUCUGGUUGGAUUUUGGUUCGGGUUAGACUUGGGUCGCCCGAUUUGUGAGAAGACGCCUUGCAAUUGUUGUAACUUGGCUGACUCACCAUGUUGGUUUUAAACUUGGUUUAUGGAUUUAACUAAGUUAUCUGAAAUGGAUUUUCGGAUCAUGUUUCAAAGUGGGAACUUAAUUUGACUUAACUGAUUGUAUGACUUUGGUGACAGUCCGAGUAAGUAUGAUUAUUCCACGUUAGUUUAUGCUUUGGCAUUUUGACUAUAUAUGUAUAAUGGCGUUAUGAUGGUUUAUACGUUGGCUUGAUUGAUAUAUGUGCUAGUCGUAUGUGGUGUCUAGUACUCUCUAGAGUUAGGGGAUGAUAUUAAUUAUUAUAUAUAUUUUCUUAGACCCGUCGACUGCUCGUGCUUCGGAGUCGGAUCAGGUUUAGUUGCUUGUCAAGUUUUCACGUGGAUUUGCAAGCAGGUUAUGAUCUGAGAGAGUCUGGUGAUCUCCGCAUUUACUUUUCUUCGGAGGUUCCAUUUAUUUUUGAUAAACUGUAAAACUGUUUUAUUCUUAGACCGCAGUAGUAACUAGACGUCUUUAUUAUUACUGUAUAUUUUGUCGGAUUGGUUCGACUGGUUAUAUUGCUUUGGCAUGAUUAUAAUACUUACAUUGAUUUAUGAUAAAUCUAUAUUAGUCUCGGAA